UCGAAAACACCGUGAAGGAACUGAGAGAGUAUUUAUUCUCAUGGCACUUUACGGAAACAGAAUCAGAGACUGUGAUUAAAAAUGUUCUGAUAAUCUCUGAAUUGCAGAGAUACCCACUAAGAGGCUCCCAAGGAUGAAAAGGUGGUUAUUUUGCAACUAAUUUCAGCCAGUCCGACACACAAAAGGACCGACCUGCUGACUUGCAAACUACCGGCUGGUGUGAGUGACUGACCAGUGAAAUGGAGCCGAGUAGGGGGCCUGCGCUUAAUCUCCGAGAAGCAUCAGGUACCCUUUAACAGAAUACAGACGACUUAAGAGUAUCUGUUCAAAUCUGCCACUAGUUUCUACCAUAGUAUGAAGAAAUUUCAGAGUACAAAUUACUAUCAGCUAUGUUAAGUCCUUGAAGAAGCAGGGCCUUUGUCUGCAUUGCUCUUUGACUUAAUUUUGAGCUAUUUCACUCAUGGCUACUUGACUCAUCAACUUGACUGACAGUGGCAAAUGUUAUCCUGAGAUUCCAUGGCACUAACCAGAGAAGAGGAGAAAACAGUCUGAGAGACUUCUAAUUCCGUAGAAGGUUAUCUGCUACAUGGUGGUAUUUGUAUGUUGGAAAUAUGACUGAAUUACAUAAUGAACUUCCGGUUUUUCUUUUCUUAUUAAAUUUUCCAUAGGUCUGAGGCUUUCAAGAGAGAAAAGUAUGUACCACAUAAUAACAAUGGCUGAGUAAAGAGAGAAACAGAAAACUACGGUCCGCUUAAGAAGGCAGGAUUCAAAGACAGAAUUCACUGAAUUCUAACAUUCAUACAGGCCUAACGAAGGAAUAGGAAAAGAAAAGCAAAACCACUGUUUCUGAGGGCCAAGUUUCAAAAAGUAGCUAAUGUUUACUCAAAAAAAUCAAUUAAAAAACAACUCUUCUUUUCUGAUAUUUAAAGACUGUUUUGGACUACUUUCUGUUUUCUUCUACCAAAACUAUGAUGAAGUAACACAACAAGAACAAUUUUUUAUAAUUACAUAGCUACAUGCUAAGCCAUUGUACAAAUCACAGAUGAAGUCAGCAACUAAAAAUAGUCCUUAAUUUCUUUUCUUUUUUUUCCCUUUUUUUAAAAUGUAUG